UUAAGUUCAGCGGGUAUUCCUACCUGAUCCGAGGUCAACCUUGGUGCCGCCGGAGCGGGCUUGAGGGGGGUUUAGAGGCCGGAUAGCCCGAGGGCUCCCGAUGCGAGGCAGAUAUUACUACGCAAAGGAAGGGCCCGACGGGUCCGCCACUGGUUUUCGGGGACUGCCUGGGCAGAUCCCCAACGCCGGGCCACGGGGGC
rnacentral:misc_RNA from 1 species